rnacentral:rRNA from 1 species
GGGGGCUGCGGCCGAUUAGCUAGUUGGUGAGGUAACGGCUCACCAAGGCGAUGAUCGGUAGCCGGCCUGAGAGGGCGCACGGCCACACUGGCACUGAAACACGGGCCAGACUCCUACGGGAGGCAGCAGUGGGGAAUUUUGCACAAUGCCCGAAAGGGUGAUGCAGCAACGCCGCGUGAGGGAUGAAGGCCUUCGGGUCGUAAACCUCUUUCGACCGGGAAAAAUGGGCUGGUGAAGAGCCAGUUCUGAUGGUACUGGUGGAAGAAGCCCCGGCUAACUACGUGCCAGCAGCCGCGGUAAUACGUAGGGGGCGAGCGUUGUUCGGAAUUACUGGGCGUAAAGGGCGUGUAGGCGGUGCGGUAAGUUGGGCGUGAAAUCCCCGAGCUUAACUCGGGUGGGCCGUUCAAGACUGCCGUGCUAGGGUGCGGGAGAGGGAAGUGGAAUUUCCG